CAGCCGCCGCGGUAAUACGUAGGGUGCAAGCGUUAAUCGGAAUUACUGGGCGUAAAGCGUGCGCAGGCGGUUAUAUAAGACAGAUGUGAAAUCCCCGGGCUCAACCUGGGAACUGCAUUUGUGACUGUAUAGCUAGAGUACGGCAGAGGGGGAUGGAAUUCCGCGUGUAGCAGUGAAAUGCGUAGAUAUGCGGAGGAACACCGAUGGCGAAGGCAAUCCCCUGGGCCUGUACUGACGCUCAUGCACGAAAGCGUGGGGAGCAAACAGGAUUAGAUACCCCUGUAGUCCCUGUCUCUUAUAU
rnacentral:rRNA from 1 species